GCAUCUUGUGAAAAUGCAGGCUCUGAUUCAGUAGCUCUGGAGUGGGGACUGAGAUUCUGCAUUUUUAACAAGCUC
rnacentral:miRNA from 1 species